rnacentral:rRNA from 1 species
UACGUAGGGGGCAAGCGUUGUCCGGAAUUAUUGGGCGUAAAGAGCGCGUAGGCGGUCCGAUAAGUCGGCUGUGAAAGUCAGGGGCUCAACCCUUGAAAGCCGGCCGAUACUGUCGGACUAGAGUCCGGAAGAGGCAAGUGGAAUUCCCGGUGUAGCGGUGAAAUGCGCAGAUAUCGGGAGGAACACCAAUGGCGAAGGCAGCUUGCUGGGACGGUACUGACGCUGAGACGCGAAAGCGUGGGGAGCAAACCGG